GUUGCUUUAUAAGCAUAAAGCAUAGUCGAGAAAAAGACAAAAGACCAAAGGAGUAAACAUGAACAAGGGAAAUGCAUUCGCGAUAUACGGAAAUUUCUACUUGGAAAUUUCAAAAUAAAAAACAACUGCGCACCAACGAUAACAAACACAGGUGCUAGUUCAACCACACAGAAAGUUUUACUUAUAUAAAGGAAGAAAAAAAGCAUAGAAAAAGGAAAGAAACGAACUCGCAUUUAAAAAAUGGAAUUGACGAGAUCAGCGCCAGCAGUUGCACCAGCACCGAAUACAAAUGCAGAACCCAAACCACUACCAAUCUUCUUGAAUGUUGAUGAGUGCUUGUGCUCGGUCGGUUGUGCAACCACGAUGGGUUGUUGAGGCGCCUGAGGAUAGGCUUGGACAGGUGGAUAUGGUGCUUGCUGAGGUGGAUAUGCUGUUUGCUGAUACUGCAUGGGAGGUGCCGAAGAAGAUGCUGCUGGGGGA